rnacentral:rRNA from 1 species
UGGGGAAUAUUGGACAAUGGGCGCAAGCCUGAUCCAGCAAUGCCGCGUGAGUGAAGAAGGCCUUCGGGUUGUAAAGCUCUUUUGUCAGGGAAGAAACGGUAGUAACGAAUAACUACUACUAAUGACGGUACCUGAAGAAUAAGCACCGGCUAACUACGUGCCAGCAGCCGCGGUAAUACGUAGGGUGCAAGCGUUAAUCGGAAUUACUGGGCGUAAAGCGUGCGCAGGCGGUUGUGUAAGUCAGAUGUGAAAUCCCCGGGCUCAACCUGGGAAUUGCAUUUGAGACUGCACGGCUAGAGUGUGUCAGAGGGGGGUAGAAUUCCACGUGUAGCAGUGAAAUGCGUAGAUAUGUGGAGGAAUACCGAUGGCGAAGGCAGCCCCCUGGGAUAACACUGACGCUCAUGCACGAAAGCGUGGGGAGCAAACAGGAUUAGAUCCCCGUAGUCCCUGAGCGGGCUGGCAAGGCGCAU